CAAGAUGUCCACAGCGCAGCAAAAAGUAAAAAUGUGUAAUUUGUAUAGGUUAACGCAGUCCGUCAAGCAAACACAAAGAUGUUUCUGCACGUCUGAGGGCUUGCACCCAAGGGAAACUCGAAAGAAGAUAACAAUUUAUAGAAUCGUUAAUCAAUUCAAAGCAGAGGGCACGGCUCAGUCAUAAACACGGCACAAAAAAAAAAUG